GAAGUAGCUGGAGUAUGAGAAAAUGCAUUAGGAGAAUUCCGCUUCAAGAGCUCUACACGGGGCCCCUGGCUGAGGGUCAGCGACGCAGUGUCGGCAUUUGUACUCAUCCAAGAAACCGCGUAGGCGUGAGUUUCAGCAGCGACACUCUGCCGUGGUAGGAAUGCGUGGCAGAGAGAGUCCCUGGCAACUGUCAGCUGAACAGACUCCAGUUCCUCCAGGCCUGGUGUGUGAGAGGGCCUAUUUUUGGUUUUACCUGGCCUGCUCCCAGGGCUUUGGGACAAUUUAUUGGGAAGGGAGGAAACCUUCGGAGGGAGAUGCUGGGCUUCCUGCUCUUAUCGGAGUUUGCUACCAUGAUGGCUGCUCCAAAGCACUUGGGCUAAUUUAGAUGGACUCCGGAGUGGUUCUCCAGAUGUUUCCCCCAGACUUGGGGGCCGCAGAAGUGCGCACACUAUGGACGGACCGAGGGUGGCUCUGGAGAGGACUGGAUUACUCUGACAUCAGCUACUCACGUCUAGGCUGUGCAGGCUUGAAGAGGCUAAGGGGGAGCGGAUGCAGGGGACGUUCCUCAGGCCCCCAGGGCAGAGGAGGCGGCUCUUAGCUCCUGGGAAGCCUUUGAUGGACUGAAGCAGAGCACUUGCGGUGGCAAGAGGGUCCUUUUUACUGACACUCUGGACUGGAAGAACAUCGAAUGCUUGGUAUUUCAAUCAACUUCCCCUUCUGGGAGCUCCAAGGCUGAGCUCCGGUGACCAGAAAUCCCGCAGGUGGCUGGGAACAGCUUCAGAGGCCGGGGCUUCACUCCAGGGCCUGCACACUAAACCAGCAGUCUACAUGGUCUCCACUCUUCCUUUGGGUGCCUCCAACUCCUUACCUGUCAAAUGUGGAGGCUGACAAGAUGCUUUCUAGAAGCUCUUAGAGCUCUGACGUUGGACACUCCCAUGGCGAAGCACAGGGGAGAAUUCCUUAUUCGAAAGAACCCUUCAGUGCAAGGAGAAUCUUCCAGAAAUGGAAAUUUGUAUGCCUCCUACAAGCGUUUAGCCUAUUUGUGUUUAUGUGCCCUGUUAAGUGGAUCUGCAGCCUAUGAUAUCUCGUUUUAAUUUAACUAAUCCUCACAAAAUAGACAAGUGAUUUAAAUGAUUACUGAGAAGAAACUGCAAACUGGAGAUAAUAUUAAUGACACAAGCCCAGGGGACCAGCAGAAUGCUGAUGUGCUAUUUCUGCAACUCCUAGUGCUGCCUCUUUUCAGCUAAUUACAGGAUAAAAAGAAUGGCGGGCUAAUUACAUCAAUCACAACAUUGGCCAAAAGACUGGAAAAAUUAAGAAGACUAUUUGAAGCAUGGUCUUUCAUCCACUAUCAUUAAUGAUGACUCUCUCCUUGAGUGAAUAUUGGAUCUUGACGUAGCUAAUGAGAGUGUGCAGCCAUUGCAAUGAACAAAAUGUUUAGAAACUUCUUUCAGCUACUUAAAGUCAUAAUAUACUCAAUCCAGCCCUUUACAAAAUUUGAUUAAAUUUUUGAUAAUUUUGAAUUUACUACUUAAUUUUGAAAGUGAAAGUCCAUAGCCCAUUGGUCAAACACUUGCUCUACAUGCUAUAGUGAAAAUAGCUGAAGAAAUAUCUGAAAACUAUAUAGUGACACAUUAAAAUAGACUCCUUGGUCAUUAAGCAUUUUUGGAAGAUGCAUAGAACUUGUUGUUAAAGAAUUGAAGAAAUGUUAAAACAAAUAAUUCAUUGUGAGAAGUUUACCCUACAACUGUUGGAAAGUAGUACAGAUGUUUCAACAUAUUUUGGCUUAUGCUAUUUCCAGAUUCUUCAUGGCAAUAAUAAAAUCUGUUGGAGGACCCUUUCUUAUGAGUUCAGAAAAAAACACUUUCUCAAUGGUAAAUGAGUUUCUUAACAAAAGCAAUGUUUUGGUUUUAUGUUGACAGGAAUGAAAAAAUAGGUAAAUUUCACAAGCUAGUACCUUAUGUGAAAUUUAUUUGCUGCAUUUUCUUUUUAAAGAUUGGCACCUGGGCUAACAACUGUUGCCAAUCUUCCUUUUUUUUUUUCUUUUUAA